rnacentral:rRNA from 1 species
UAGGGAAUCUUGCGCAAUGGGCGAAAGCCUGACGCAGCGACGCCGCGUGAGGGAAGAAGGCCUUCGGGUCGUAAACCUCUGUCCUUGGGGACGAUGAUGACGGUACCCAAGGAGGAAGCCCCGGCUAACUACGUGCCAGCAGCCGCGGUAAUACGUAGGGGGCGAGCGUUGUCCGGAAUCACUGGGCGUAAAGGGUGCGUAGGCGGCUUGGCAAGUCCUGUGUGAAAGGUCGCGGCUCAACCGCGGUGGGUCAUGGGAAACUGCCAAGCUCGAGUGCCGGAGAGGAUAGCGGAAUUCCCGGUGUAGCGGUGAAAUGCGUAGAGAUCGGGAGGAACACCAGUGGCGAAGGCGGCUAUCUGGAAGGUCACUGACGCUGAGGCACGACAGCUGGGGCAGCAAACAGGAUUAGAUACCC